GCGAGGGUCAGCCGUAACGAGCAUGUUUUUUAACUAAAAAAUGUAAAAACUAAAGAAAUUGGGCUAGAAAAUUGCUGAGACAGAGAUCGAAACUCAUAAAGCAAACCUUUUCAUUUCUGAUUUGGUAAAAGGAAUACUUUUCAUUCAAAAAUGAGUAAAUAUAUUUUUCCUGAAAUUGCACUAGAAAAGAUAAACAUCAGAGAUUCAGCCCAAUUUGGCAACUCCGUACUAUCGGAAUGUUUACCUUUGGAAUCUGUAUGAAUUUGUAAUUAUUUUCGAAAUUAGCGUUACAGGCAGUGUUUCACAGUCUAAAACUUCUGAAAUUUAUUCGAAGAAAGUUUUCAUAAUGGUAAGAUACGGAUAAUUUCAUGAAUUAAAUCCGAAGGAUUCUGUAAAUGGAACACAUUCCCUUCCCAAUCGAGAUUCGAAAUGAUGGGUUUUCUCUUUGAGGUUUGGAAAUUGAUCGGAAAAAUCCUAGAUUCAUUUAUAUAUGCCCGAAUCACUUCAACUGGAUAUAAUUUAUGAUAAGAUUAGUAAACGUUAGCCCAUUGCCCUUCCAACUCCAUACAUUUGAGAGCAAAGAGACUAAGACUUCAAGCACUUCUCUGAUUAAAAGUAUGAGUACUUUAUCAGAGGACACUUUUCCGAAGAGGAAACCUAGGGCAAAAUUAGUUACCAAUUAUUUUGUUGUUAUGAUACCUACAUACAAUAUACAUGAGUAAAACCUCCAGACCCUCCCCAACCUUUUGAAAAGAAGCAUCAGAAGAAAUUGUUCAAUCAGAGAAAAUAUUUACAGAGAAAACAUUGAACCUAAAGUUUCUGCAAUCAAACGAAGUAGAAAAACCUAUGUUUGGGACAUGGCUGAAGAAGAAUUCAGUUCGGAUAAAACAAGGCCAAACUUCAUAUUCAUGAGGAGAACUAUUUUUCGCUUCGGAGUAAUGUUCAUUCUGUAGUCGAAGCUAUGGAACUUGAAUAAUCUGCUAUAUUUCAGAGUAAAUCCUUUCAUCACAGUCAUCUAUAAGUGCUUCUAAGGCUCCUCUUUCUGGUAAAGGAAUAAAUGUUUGAGAGGAAGUUGAAAGACCUAUCAACACAGAUAUACAGUCCUGCAUUGAGAUCAUUUACUUUGACAUUCUAAUCCCCAAGAGCUAAUUAUUUUGCACGCAUUCCAUUCAACAAAAAUGUUUGAAAUAUAAAUUGAUUGUGAGUGUUUUGGCCAGGGAGUUAAAGAAUAUUUGUGUAUGCUAUUUCUUUUCAUUAUCUUUCAAAUUUUGGUAAUUAUUAACUGACAAUGA